UACGUAGGGUGCGAGCGUUGUCCGGAAUUAUUGGGCGUAAAGAGCUCGUAGGCGGUUUGUCGCGUCUGCCGUGAAAGUCCGGGGCUCAACCCUGGGAUGCCGGUGGAUACUGUCGAGCUAGAGUACGGAAGAGGCGAGUGGAAUUCCCGGUGUAGCGGUGAAAUGCGCAGAUAUCGGGAGGAACACCUAUUGCGAAGGCAGCUCGCUGGGACGUUACUGGCGCUGAGACGCGAAAGCGUGGGGAGCAAACAGG
rnacentral:rRNA from 1 species